UCUCCGUUGGUGAACCAGCGGAGGGAUCAUUACUGAGUGAGGGUUUAACCGCCCGACCUCCAACCCCAUGUGAACCGAAACCUGUUGCUUCGGGGGCGACCCUGCCGUUCGCGGCGUGGGGCCCCCGGAGCCCAUCAAACCCUGCGUAACUAAGUCGUCGGAGUUUAAACAAAUUAAACAAAACUUUCAACAACGGAUCUCUUGGUUCGGGCAUCGAUGAAGAACGCAGC
rnacentral:misc_RNA from 1 species